ACAGUACAAUCGGCUACAUGACUGGAGCAGUCUACACGUGGAGCAGAUCAAUGCUACAAGGACACUUCAUCAAUUACAGUCCAACCUUGGCGAGAUUGAGAAAUGCAGGAACCAGGUUGAGGUCGGAGACCUCCAGGGUUUUGAUGGGAAGAUUGAACCCGUGAAGACAUUUGCCCUAAAUUCAUUGGCAGAGUUCCUUCCCUUGUGUAACAAAUCAGGUCAAGGUGAGAUUGAGGAGGGUUUCAUACAUACACAGAGGAAUGAGCGGCAUGAAGACAUUGAAGUGGAGCAGUCCUCGGACUUUUUAGAUGAGGUUAUGUUUGAGCGGCCUGAAGACAUUGAAGUGGCGCAGUCCUCGGACGCUUAAGAUGAGGAUGCCAUGUUUCCACUAAUAGGAGCGGCUGUUGGAAUUGCAUUAGGGGGACCAGUCGGCCUGGCAGCGGGGCUAAGGAUAGGGGGACUUGUUGGGGCUGUAAGCGGAACAGCAGGGUUCUUCAGUGGUUCUAUGCUUAAGAAGCGACUACAAGAAACGGUUGGCAAAGAGCUGCCUGACCUUAGAAGAUCAACCUUAUAUUCAUGGGCAGUAAAUCAAGCAGAAGGAAGUGACUGGUUUUCCUGGGGACGAAAAAAGUAACCUGUCUGCACUAGAGAAAGGGCGAACGAGGGCA